GUAGGGAAUAUUGGGCAAUGGAUGCAAGUCUGACCCAGCCAUGCCGCGUGGAGGAAGAAGGUCCUCUGGAUUGUAAACUCCUUUUUUGGGGGAAGAAUAGUUCUCUUGCGAGGGAAUGUGACGGUACCCUAAGAAUAAGCCACGGCUAACUACGUGCCAGCAGCCGCGGUAAUACGUAGGUGGCAAGCGUUGUCCGGAUUUAUUGGGUUUAAAGGGUGCGUAGGUGGUUUGAUAAGUCAGUGGUGAAGGCUGGUUGCUCAACAAUCAAGUUGCCAUUGAUACUGUCGGACUUGAGAGAAGUGGAGGUUCAUGGAAUGGAUGGUGUAGCGGUGAAAUGCAUAGAUAUCAUCCAGAACGUCGAUUGCGAAGGCAGUGGGCUGUACUUUAUCUGACACUGAGGCACGAAAGUGUGGGGAUCAAACAGGAUUAGAUACCCGAGUAGUCC
rnacentral:rRNA from 1 species